rnacentral:lncRNA from 1 species
GGAUUGUUAGCUUUAGUUGGGCAAUUGGCCAUUGGACGAGUCCAGUCUCUUUUCAGUGUAGUGGUAGGACAAGGAGCAAUGGCCAAAAGCAGGAACGUAGGAAGUUACAAAUAUGUGGAAGAGCUUCUUUACAGUGAGAGUGACAGCCUGGCCCUUCCUCUGCUUUGCUACCAUGAGCCAUAACAGAAAUGUUUAAUGAAAAAAUAGAAGAUUCAAAAUGAGCAAAACUCGGCGUUGGAUAAUGCUACAUUUUUUCAGUGUUGUUAGCAGAGAAUCUGUGUCCUUGGAAGAUAAGGAGCCAACUGCAAAAGGUUGUUUUGUAGAAUUUCCCAGAGAUAUUGUUCUGUGCUUGCCUCUUUGCCCACGCAAUUCAAUCGUCUGCUAAGCUUACAAUCUGUAAGGAACUGAAGCAGUACCGUUGUGAUUCUGCUAACAGUACAGAGG